AUUUUUUUAGUAUAUAAAGUACCUUUGCCUUCCAAGCAAAAAGUUUAAUUUUCUUAAAAAAAAUA
rnacentral:tRNA from 1 species